GACGUAGGGGGCUAGCGUUGCUCGGAAUCACUGGGCGUAAAGGGCGCGUAGGCGGAUCUUUAAGUCGGGGGUGAAAGCCCAGGGCUCAACCCUGGAAUUGCCUUCGAUACUGGAGAUCUUGAGACCGGAAGAGGUAAGUGGAACUGCGAGUGUAGAGGUGAAAUUCGUAGAUAUUCGCAAGAACACCAGUGGCGAAGGCGGCUGACUGGUCCGGUUCUGACGCUGAGGCGCGAAAGCGUGGGGAGCAAACAGG
rnacentral:rRNA from 1 species